rnacentral:tRNA from 1 species
GAUGUCGCCAAGCGGUAAGGCAAAGGACUUUGACUCCUUCAUCCGUGGGUUCGAAUCCCGCCAUC